rnacentral:rRNA from 1 species
CACGACUACAUUAGAUACCCCGGUAGUCCUAGGCGUAAAUGAUGCGAGUUAAGUNUGGGGGCAUCUACGAGAUGGCCCUGUGCUGUAGGGUAGCCGUUAAACUCGCUGCCUGGGAGUACGGUCGCAAGGCUGAAACUUAAAGGAAUUGGCGGGGAGCACCACAAGAGGUGGAGGCUGCGGUUCAAUUGGACUCAACGCCGGAAAACUCAUCGGGAGCGACAGCAGUAUGAUUGCCAGGUUGAUGACCUUGCUUGACAAGCUG